AUUGAACGCUGGCGGCAUGCCUUACACAUGCAAGUCGAACGGCAGCAUGGAGAGCUUGCUCUCUGAUGGCGAGUGGCGAACGGGUGAGUAAAGCAUCGGAACGUACCGUGUAAUGGGGGAUAACGUAGCGAAAGUUACGCUAAUACCGCAUACGACCUGAGGGUGAAAGCAGGGGAUCGCAAGACCUUGCGUUAUACGAGCGGCCGAUGUCAGAUUAGCUAGUUGGUGAGGUAAAGGCGCACCAAGGCGACGGUCUGUAGCGGGUCUGAGAGGAUGAUCCGCCACACUGGGACUGAGACACGGCCCAGACUCCUACGGGAGGCAGCAGUGGGGAAUUUUGGACAAUGGGGGCAACCCUGAUCCAGCCAUGCCGCGUGAGUGAAGAAGGCCUUCGGGUUGUAAAGCUCUUUCGGCCGGGAAGAAAUCGCACAGGCUAAUACUCUGUGUGGAUGACGGUACCGGCAUAAGAAGCACCGGCUAACUACGUGCCAGCAGCCGCGGUAA
rnacentral:rRNA from 1 species